AAUUAAGGAGCUGGGUUCUUCAGUCAGAGAGCAUCCCACCAGGCAUUCACUAAGCCCAGACCGUGUUCAGAGCGCUGGAGGAAAUGCUGGAAAUGCGACACUGGGCUCCUGUGGUCCUACGGCAGUGCACGUCCACCAGGGAAUCAGAGAUGGCCACUGAGUGUGUCCCCAGGAGCAUCAGGCCCACUGGCCAGGGCCACUUGAACCCCAGUCCCUGAAUUCCACAGCCUGACAGCUGUUUUCACCCAUGAGCUAAUAGCUCUGCCUUAGGGCUGGUCUAGAAGAGAUGGGGCAGGGGGAUGUCUAUUCUCCUUCCCUUUGGACAAAGCCCUGCAGCAAGCAUGGAUGCCCUCAUGUCACAUCUCCUAUAAAGCAGAAUCAGGCAUUGAGAGGAGGGGGGAUGGGGCUCUCGUGACGUAGGCAGGAUGGUUGACUGGGGACAGCAGCGCCCCUGAGUGUCAGCUCUUGGUCUGUGCCACAGAGCCUCAGCACAGCAUGGCCAGCUGCUUCAGCCUCCAUCCACUUGAGCUGCCUCUGCUUCACUCCCUUGCAAAGGAUCUGCAGGUGUCCCUCUGUUCAAGGCCACAGAGGGCACAGGGAAGCCAGGUGUCCGCUGUGCCUCCUAAGUGCACUUGCCCGGGAGGCUAAAGCAGAGUUGUUCAGGGCAGAUAUAAAGGAUGUGGACAAGCAAUCCCAGGGCUGGGGGAGGCUUCCAGCACUGUCAUAAGCAGCACAGACCCAUGCUCUUAUUCCAUCGGGGCACAGGCACCCCUUCCCCACACCAGGACAGUGGCCCCUCAGCAGAAGGGCAGCUGGGGCCUUAGGGGCACAGGGUUCUACUCCAUGACGGCAUGAACCCUCCAAACCUAGAAUGGAUCCCCAUUUUUGAUGGGGAAAAGGCUCCACUGUGUGUGCAGGGCUGCUCCGGCCCUCCUGGGUGUGGUCUAGUCCCAGAAACAGCCUCUGAGGCAGAACCUGGGGUCUCCCUUCACCUGGAAAACAAUAGGUUACUCGGCUGCCUGGGCCUGGGUCCUGAGAUCAAGGGUAACUCCGUAAGGACAGAAUCUGCCCAGAAAUGCUCUCCCUAAUCCUCAUUCCUUUCCCCACCUCAUUACUACCUUUGACUCUGUUUCUGUUUCCCUCUGUCUCUGUGUCUUGCCUCAAGAGGGUGGGUGAUCUCUUGCUGUGACUGCAUCUGACACGUGUCCUGUACCAAGUGACUUUUUAGGUGUCUGCAUUGCAAGAUGUCAUUCUGCUGAGCUCUUUCAGGCUCUGUGUCCAGAUUCUGAGGUCUCUGACCAAUUUGGAGGGCAGUGUCCCAGGUCGGCAGUUCUCUGAGCUGUGGAGGACUUGUGUCCAGGGUGACAGUCCUCUGGGCUGGUUAGGGUUUUCUCCCAGCGUGUGAGGUGUCUGAUCUGCUUUAGGUGUUGUGUGUAGAAUGCAAGGCGUGGGAGCAGUUCUGGAUUUCAGGAAGGAGGGUUUGAGCUCUCCGGAGUGUCUGUGUCAAGGAUGGGACACAGUAGCGCCCCCUGGGCUCCAUAUCCUAGGUUGUGAGAACACUGAGGUUAUUCCAAACUCACAAAAGAUGUCUGAUCUGUUUGGGGUCCUGCAUCCUGAGUGUGUCCUCUCUGGUUAUGAGUCCCCACCUGAACAGUCGAGGCUGCUGACAUGUUGAGUAGUUGCUGUGUCUCAUGUUGUAAACUCUGCUGUGUGUUCCACACUCAGAGGUCUCCCAGGUGUUUCUUGCAGGUCACAUUGUGCCCACGACCUCUGUGUUCCCUGUCCCAGUCCCCUCAACUGUUUCUGUUUCUGCAUCUCAGGGUGGGAGCACUAUGGUUUUGUGGGCUUCUGAGUCCAGGGUGUGAGGUCUGUGAGGUAAUUGGGUUUCUACAUAACAGGUUCUGAAGUUGCUCACAUGCACAAGCAUCUGGAUUUUAGAAUCGGUCAUCUCCAAGCAGGUUUAAUGUCUGUGUCCUCCUUCACUGAGUUCUCGGAGGUGUGUGAGUUCUGCGAACUGUUCAGUGUUGUGUGUCCAGGGUUGAUGUGUCUGAGCUGCUGGUUCCUGGGUUUUUAUCUGGGUUUUCCAUGCUGUUUGGGUAUAUUGGGCUUUGUGAGUCACCCUAUGGGGUUCCUGAGGUAUUUGAGAGUCUGUGUCCAGGGUAGGAUAUUUUAGAGCUGGUGGGAGAUAUGAGUCCUGGUCUGUCUUUGGUUCCAUGUUCCAUGGAUUAAAAUGUCUGUCCUCUUUGGGAGAGCAUCUCCAGCAUGUGAGACAUUGUCACACAGCAUAUUUCACACAUGAGGUGUUUGUGUCCUUUUCCUGAUGUUUGCGUCUCACCCUGUGCAGUCAGUGAGAGCUUGUCUCAAGCUGGCUGUCCCAGACUUGUCCAUUCCAGCCCCUUACAGCCUGGCUUACUUAUCUAGACCUGUGAGUUUACACGGCCAGCAUCCUUCACAGCCACCUCUGGGGUUGCAGUCAAGUGACUCUAUUGAGAGUCACAGCUCUCCCUCAGCACCAGUUGUGGAGAUCUGAUUUUGGGGAGGGGUUUCUUCUGUGUCUCUGACGAAAGACACAGAACAGGGCUCCCUCUCUCAGGGAUGAACAGGACCUGCCCAUGUGGUCCUGAGUCGUGUGGUCUGUCUCCUGCUAGACCUCACUGACACCCAGAAAAUAACCUGGACACAGUGUCCCUGUUGCAUCUCUCCAGAACACAUGCCUCAGACCCGGGAUGCCCUGUGCCCUGGUGGGACGGCAGAAGACUCUAGCUGUUUGGAUCAUCUUCCAAAACCCUAACUUCACUUUUACAUGAUAAGGAUCUACAGAGUGGCCCCUUCCUCGAAAACACAUAGAGUUCUGAAUGCAGGAUUUGGGGCUAGGGAAGGGAGGGGAUGCAGGUAGAUGCCAUCUGUGGCCGGGGGAAGGUGUGGGCCUGAGACCGUCUAAGCUGUAAUGUAGGACUAAUGGGCACAGACCGUUCAAGAGAAAUGUGUGUUGCGCUGAAGAAAGUAGAAACUACCCCCAGAAUGUCCCCUCCGUCUCUUAAACAUGCACGGUUUAAUUCUGUUAUUUUGUGAGGCUCUUUGCAUGAUGAUGCAAGGAUGCAUAGAGGACUCAGUCACACGGGGGAGAACGAGACCCUGAAUGGUCUCACAGUCUAGCGGGGGAGGCAGAUGUGUUCCUUCAGGCAACAAAUAUGUAUGAAGGUCUUCUAUGUGCCAGGCACUGCUUCAGGUGUGGGGAUACAUCCGGGAAACAAAUCAGCAGAAAUCCCUGCCCUGAAGGGGACGUGAUAGGUGGCAGACAGCAAACCCUCCACAAGGGAAUCUGAGACAGGUUUCAAUUAAGAAGUUUAUUUUGCCAAGGUUAAGGACGUGCCCCUGACACAACCUCAGGAGGUCCUGACAAAACAUCUCCAAGGUCGUCAGUGUACAGCUUUGGUUUAUACACUUUAGGGAGAUGUAAGACAUCAAUCAGUGCAUGUACAGUGUACAUUGAUUCAGUCUGAAAAGGCAGGACAACUGUAGAUUGGCGGGGCAGGGGGGGUCUUUCAGGUCAUUGGUGGAUUCCAAGAUUUUCAGAUUGGCAAUUGCUUGAGUUUAUCUAAAGACCUCCAACCAUAGGAAAGAGUGUCUGGAUUAAGAUAAGGCAUUGUGGAGCCCAAGGUUCCUAUGCCAAUGAAGCCCCGAGGUAGCAUGUUUCAGAGAGUAUAGGCUGUUAAUGUUUUUUAUCAGACUUCAAUAGGUGCUGGACUCUUCACUAAUUCUCUCCUAGGUCAGGAAAAAGACCUGGAAAGGAAAAGGGAUUCUCUACAGAAUGUAGACUUCCUCACAAGUGAUGGCUCUGUAGGGCUAUUUCAAAAUGUGUCAAAGAACUAUAUUGUUGGGUGAAAUACUUUGACUUCUUUCAGGGCCUAUUUGUAACAUGAUGCUAUGCUAGUCAGGCUUGAACUUGGUAUCUUAUUGCUAAAGCCUUAAGAUCUCUUCCUUAAGAUAACAGAAAUGCUGGUCAGUUGUGCCUGAAUUCCGUAGGGAGAAGGGUGUAAUGACGCAUGUCUGACCCACCCUUCCCAUCAUGGCCUGAACUAGUUUUUCAGGUUAACUAUGGAAUGGCCUCGGUGUAGAGAAGGGUCAUUCAGAUGGCUGGUGGGUGGGGCUUACAAUUUUAUUUUUAGUUUACAAAGGUGAUGGGGUUCUGUUAAAAAAUAUCCAGAUGGUGGUACAGGGACUGGGAAUAGGGGGAGGAACUGGGUGGGCUGCAGGUUAGUUAUGACACAGAGUGACCAGGGUAGCCUGGGUUGGAAAGGUGACAUUUUCACAAAGAUGUGAAGGGGGAGGAGUCAGUCAGGCAGAUAUCUGUGGUGAAGGCCUUCCAGACAGAGGGACCAGUUUGGGAAUAAAAGUCAGAGGCUGAGUCAUCCCGACACAGCACACAUACCACAAGGACACCAGCGUACCAGCAGGAAGCUGAACAGAAGGCAGGAGGUGCCACGGUGACAGGGAGGAGAUCCUGUUGGACCAGGUAGGCUUCUGCUCUGCCAGUGAGACGGAAAGGGACAAUGAAGGGCCGCAGAUGCCGAAAGCACAUCUGUGCAGCCUGCAGAGUUCAGGCGAAGGUGGGACCCAGGCAGGAGCAGUCAGAACCAGGAGGGCUUGGGCAACAAGCUAGGACAGGCAGAGCAGCUUAUGCAGCCCACUCGGACUUGACAGACAUGCUCAUCCACGUGUUCAUGUCCUUGUCGCCAUGGACAUGUAUGUUGUGGCCACAGAACCACAUACUUGAUUAGGAGGCUGGAACCCAGUCAACAGUCCUUCUUCCCUACAGAUCUUGUGGGAGGUCCACGUGCACUUGCCAUGGGGUACUCAGACAGUUUGGUGAACCCAUCACUGUAGUCCCACUGGGAGGCCAGAACUGAGCCUGGUGGAGUAACAUACUGGCCGACACAUAUUUUAAAAUUCUGGCCAGGUUUGGUGGCUCACACCUGUAAUUCUAGCACUUUGGGAUGGUGAGGCAGGCAGAUCACUUGAGGUCAAGAAUUUGCGAUCAGCCUGGCCAACAUGGUGAUGCCAUCUCUAUUAAAAAUACAAAAAAAUUAGCCAGGCCUAGUGGCGUGCACCUGUAAUCCCAGCUAAUUGGGUGGCUGAGGCAAGAGAAUCACUUGAAACCAGGAGGCGGAAGUUGCAGUGAGCUGAGAUUGUGCCACGGCACUCCAGCCUGGGUGACAGAGCGAUUCUCUGUCUCAAAUAAAUAAUAUUGUAGUCUCUUUUAUUAGGAGUUCCAGAAUUAGGGAAGGGAGGAAAGUUACAACCUUCCCACCAACUCCAAGAAGAGAAUCUCUUUGCACAGAUGUCCUCUGUUCACUGGAUUCUCCUGGAGCAUUUCUAAUGCACACAAAGCUGCUACAAUCAUAGCCAGUACUGACCAAGUACGAUGGGUGAAAUUCCUUUAUUAACUGAAUAAACUUGUUCUGAGGGCUGACUAGACACGCUAGGGACAAGGGGAUGCUUUCGGCUGUAUCCUUUCUGGCAGAUGACCUCCACACUGGUGGGGGUAAAGAGAGCCAUGGUAGAGUAUAACCCACAGCCCCCUAGAAGCACACAGGAGUGCACCCUACCCUCACCUGAAGGAUGUGUGUGUGCAAAGGUUGGGUCAGGAUAGACUCUUCAGGGGAGCAGAGGUGUGGGCGGCAGGCACUUUGAUUCUGCACAGCUUACAGCCCACAGAGCUGAAGAACAGGAGAAGCCAGAUUCCCAUCCUCAGUCUGUUGAUUUCCACACUAUAUUUGUAGUCUGAUCAACUCCACAGCUGUGUUGCAGCCACUAACAAUGCUCCCUCUGCUCUGUUUGCCUCUAGAUUCUUAUCUGGUAAAUAAAAUGAGGAUGGAGAAGUAAUUUAGGGCGGGGGUAGAUUGCAAGUGUCUCUGUGAUAGGGUAAAGCGCCUCCUGGUGGAGCCCUAGAAACUAAAUUCAACUGUUAGCUGUGAGGCAAGGGACUCCGGGGCAGCUCCUAUGGAAUGUGUUAGAACUUAUCAGGGUGGCUAUGCCCUGCCAGGGGCCUGGAUCUCACACAGGUGGAUGUGGUGUUGGGAACAGACUGACUGUCCCAUCAUGGAAUAAUAUCUGCAUCUCAGCAAGGGGAACAUAAGCAAAGUAUGUUGUCAUGAGUUUAAAGAGGCCUGGCUUUGGAGUCUGAGAGAACCCGCAUGUGAGUCCCAAAUCCAGCCUUUUCUGCUUCGGUGCCCUGACCUCUUUCAGCUUGGUUCCUUAUCUGUUGAUGGGGGUUUGAUAAUUACCUCUCUGGGUCUUUGGGAAAUCAAUACUGUACAUGCAUGGCAUAGGUCCUCAACAGCCAGGCUCCAGGAAUAGCCAUUCACACUCUGCCAUGUUAGGGGCACAUCAGCGUGUGGGGCCAGCGUGCCGGGACAGUGUGAGUCCAGUGUAUUGUACAGCGGUGUUCAGGCUUGGGCUGCUGGUGGCAGGGCCGGGGCCAUUUCCAUCUUUCCUUUGUUAUUGUCCACAUGUCAAAAGCAGACACUUCCAUUCAUACACAGGUGUGCCAUGCUAGGAGCUAAAAUAACAGGCUAUAGUGAAUGAAGCUAAGCCUCAGAGUCCACUCUGUGGCAGGAAGGACCAGCUGUGAGGCAGGUCCUCAGCCCAUAUCACUUCAUGGUACUGAACCUGGGGCCAUAAUUCCAAACUCCACAUUUGUACAACGAUGUGUCUACAGGAAUAGAGAGAUGAAUGUUGUGUAUUUUUAUUAUUAUUUACAUUUUUAUUGUAUAUAUUUGAGGUAUAAAAUAUGUUAUACACACAUACACGUGAAAUAAUUGCUAUAGUCAGGCAAAUGAACCUGUCACCUUCCUCAGUUACCUUCCUGCAUCCUCUUCUUUGCAAGUAAACUUAUCCCAAAACCCUACUCUGAGGUGAAAUUCCAAUUGGUUGGCCCACUGGGGGAAUUUUCACGAAUCCCCAUCAUAUGCUAUUGAGUAAAAAUAACAAACCCACUAAGUGUGCCUUUUGAUCCAUAUCCUCCCUAGGUAAAGAAGAAUUUGCUCUCCUUCACUUGAGAGCUGAAGGUAAGGGGGAAUAAGGCAGAGGGGGAUGGAGCAAGUACAGGCCAGACAGAGGGAAGGUUGGGUGUGAGGUGGUGGACAUGAGAGGGAGAGCCAGAGAUUGAGCAUGCACACUAGAGAGAGAGUCCAAGUGUUGGCUGACUGAUGAACACAGAGAGGUCUAGAAUGUGUAAUACUGAGGGUGGGUGCACCAGGAGGAGGCAUCUGCUACAGAGGAUGCAUUUGGGGAUAGCCAAGGCCUGAUGUCCAUAAUCCAGGAGGCUGGACUUUAUCCUAAGGGCAGCAGACAGCCCUAGUAGAAUUUGAAAAGGUUUGACAUGACCAGAUCAGCAGUUAAGAAAGGUGCCUCACGCACUGGGACAGAGAAUGUAUGGAAGGGGUCAAGACUGGCAGCAAGAAGAUGAGCUAUGAAUUGGUGGUGGUCAUCAAGGAGGGAGAUGAGGGUGACUGGACUGGGGAACUUCCUGUGGUGAUGGAGAAGAGUGAGUGUCAAGAUCUCACUUAGAAAGACUUGGGAGGUUGAACUGGCCAGGCUUGGUCACCGUGGGGAUGGUGAGAGAGAGGUAGCAAUCAAGGAUGGCUUUCAAGAUCUCUGGCACAAGCUGCUGCGUAGAAGCCUGUCAGUGAGUCGGGCAGCAAAGGAGGAGGGGCAGGUGUGCUGAGAGUGGGAAUGGGUGGGUUCACUUUGGUACAUGCUGAGUAGUCCUUGCUCUGGGACCUAAGGACAUAUGAGUUGAAUGACUUCGCAGAGCUGCCCUAACCUCUGUGUACCUACCACACCUUAUUUGUAACAGGAUAAUAAGAAUAAUUAGGAAAUAUGACUAAUUUGUUUCAGUUGUUGAGUCUAGGAGAAGGUUCUCCUUUUAUACUGCACAGUGGUAUUUUCUUUCGAGCUCCUCCCAAGUAAAAUGGGACUGUCUCAAUUUACCCGUAUAGUGUCUUGAUUUUAGCUAUCUGCUUUGGGUAUCAUCACCAUUCGGCAUGUAUUGCCAAUACUAAAGAAGUAAUAGAUGUGAUAAUAAACACCUGUUACUUUGAAUUUAUGUUUUCAAAGUAACAGGUAUUUAUUAUCACAUGUGUGCUGUAAUAGCCUAUCAGCCUGUCCUUCAGACAAACACACUCUCCCUUCAAAUCCUCUAAUCUUCCUCUUGAAGCCCACCUCUCCCUUCAGGGCUUGGGUAGGGCCUUUGGGACUAAGGAUGUCUAACACUCUCUUCUUUGAGAAGUCAUCUCCCACUGUCCAGGAGGCUGGAUGGGAGGAGGCGAGUGCAACGGGCCUGUCGGGUUGUCAGUUAGUGCAGAAAAUCUGUAGACUCGGGGAGGAUCGAGCCACUUGUAUGCAUUUGGAAAUGACAGUGUAUGGCUGCACAGCAUGAAGGGGAUGAAGCCACAGACAUCUGGAUUUAAAUUGUAACUCCUCCAUUUAUUUCUUGUGUGACUUUGGGAAAGUUACUUAAGCUCUCUGCGGCUCGGUUACUUCAAUUGUAAAAUGAAAUUAAGAUAAUAUUCUAGGAUAACGAUUGAUUUUCCUUCCUUCAUUUAGACCACAUAAUACUACUUUUUGAAAAUUAUAAACUGCUGUUCAUGAGGCAGCUUCUCCCAGGGUUAAAAAGGAAUGUACUAUCCGUGUAUCUGCUACGACAGACCUUGUUGCAUGUCACUUGAUUCCUGAAAUACGCCAUGGUAAAGAAAUCUCUGUGCCAUCCUAUUACGGAUGAGGCACUGUAGGCAGAGAGAGAGGUUAGGCACUUUCGUGUUCUGGGAAAUCGCUGACCUUUAUAGGACCUAUGUUCUCCAUAAGAGUUAGAGAAAGGUUGUUGGCUCUCCACCCUGUGCCAUGACUCCCAAAUGGCAGACCUUGUUAUUUUGUCUCAGGAAUGAUUCUCUCAGAUGGGAAGUGUGUCCUACAGAAAGGAGCUAGGCAGAGAGAGAAACAUUCCCUGUUCAGCUAGCUGAGACUUCCGCUAAUUACAAAAAACUCCUGCCCCAUAAAUCUCCCCAGUAAAACCUGUCUACUCCUUCCUAUGGAAGACACACCCCCUUCCCCCAUCCAUUUACCCCGACAGUGUGAUUUCCACUUCUGGGGCACUCACCCUACGGCAGUAACCUGAGUAAUUUCAGUGUCUUGGAUUGGUUAGUUUCUGUCUUUACCAAGGUGUAUGUAUCGCUCAUGCAAAAACACUAACUAAUGAAAAUGAAACAGCAGGUGUCGGUUCUUAGGGGCGCACCCUAGCUCAAAACUCCCAGCCAAUCACAGAAGUCGGCCUCUUCCCAUCUUUCCAGCCUAGUUUCCACGUCCCUCGCCUGUGAACUUCCGCUGCGUGGAUUCUCUUCCUAUGACCUCCGGAAGCUCUCAUGCCGCCCACGAGCCACGUUUCCAAAAGGACCGCUCCGGGAACGCCAUGGCGCUCCUCCGGAAUUGGUGAUCUCCACGCCUUCUCCCUUCAUAGGCGACCUGGGCGGCAUGAGUCUAGAGAAGCCACUGAGCAGUUCUCGCGCGCGCGCGCGCGCGCACACACACACACACACACACACACACACACACACACACUCACUCACUCCUUCUCUCGGGUCCCCGGCCGCCCGAGCAGCUAAUCAAAGGUUCAGGUUCUUAGCAGCGUAGCAUCCCUGUGACUUCCGCUCGUCCUCGCUUACGUUCUUUUCCGCUUUGUGGCGGCUCUAGCCCGCCGGAGGGCGACUCCUCUCGGUGGUCUUAACCCUUCAAUUCUGGGCGGGCCCGCGCUGCAUUUCUAAGGCCCAGGAAAGGAGGCCCCGCGCUGGCUCCUGGACGGCGGGAACCGGCUACGGAACGAGAACGCGCCAGGAAACACCGUGACUGGAGGGUUUUCAAGGAAGACACCGUUGCCCCUUUUGAAGCAAACCGUCCCGCAGACCCUUUCUAGGACUUGUGAUGGAGGGAGGGUCGUGAUGUGACAUGUGAAAUGUGCGUUUAGUGGGCGCUGUGAUUCCUGCAUUCAUGCGCAAUGACUGGUCUAGGCCAUUUGUGUCCAGUACCUGCACAAGCUGUAGGGUCUCAUGUUUAGAGAAGGAGGGCCUCUCCGCCCUCCACCUUGCUGGAGUGCAGGCCACCAUGGGCGGUAGCCCUCUGUGCCAUCAGAAAUGUGGUGCUCUGAGUACUCAUGGAUUUCCAGCUGCAUCUCCAAUGCCAUUUCCCUCUACUGACAUAUCCCCAUUGGUGUGUGGUUGGAAGAUGAAUUCCAGAUAAAUGUUCAGUUCCGGGCUGGGCAAUUGUGCCUGGCACCAGAGAUGUGAAGGUGUAGCAGUCACUCGACCUACACCCACAGCAUCGACCUUGUGAACCCAGCGACCUGACUGCCUUGGGCGAGUCUAGUCUGGGUUCUGCCUGCACACAUUCCUCGCUACCUUCUUGGUGUCUGAGAACCUCCAGCUUCACCACCCUUUCUAGACCCAAGGGCCUGGUGGAGCUUCCAGCUGGGACCAGACCUCCAUGGAUCCACUCCAGAAACAGAAUCCAGCAUCGCCUUCUACAUCUUUCCCGAUGACAGCUGCAGAGACUUCCCGGGAAGGCCCAGCGCCCUCGCAGCCUUCAUACUCGGAGCAGCUGAUGAUGGGCCUCAGUAACCUGAGCCCCGGUCCUGGCCUCAGUAACCUGAACCUGGGCCCUGGCCCCAGCAACCUGAGCCCUGGCCCCAGCCACUCCGCACCUCUCCCCGAGGGGCUGCUCCACGAGCGGUACAGAGAGGAGAAGACGCUCGAAGAGCAGCGGUGGGAGAGGCUGGAGUUCCUUCAGAGGAAGAAAGCAUUCCUGAGGCACGUGAGGAGGAGACACCGCGAUCACAUGGCCCCCUAUGCUGUUGGGAGGGAAGCCAGAAUCUCCCCGUUAGGUGACAGAGGUCAGAAUCGAUUCCGAUGUGAAUGUCGAUACUGCCAGAGCCACAGGCCGAAUCUUUCUGGGAUCCCUGGGGAGAGGAACAGGGCCCCACUUCCCUCCUCCUGGGAGACGCUGGUGCAGGGCCUCAGUGGCUUGACCCUCAACCUGGGUACCAACCAGCCCGGGCCUCUGCCUGAAGCGGCACUCCAACCGCAGGAGGCAGAGGAGAAGCGCCAGCGAGAGAGGCAGCAGGAGAGCAAAAUAAUGUUUCAGAGGCUGCUCAAGCAGUGGUUAGAGGAAAACUGAGACGCGCACCCACCUGGGAUGGAGACCGGAAGGGACUCAGACGGAGCCCGCGUGUUGGCAGCGCCUGGGCGUGGGACCAUUUUGGGGACGAAACAGCAAGCUGCGGUCGGAUGAGUGCCAGGACCCGUUUACGGGGACACGUGGGAACCCUCCCAGCAUGACCCUUGACUGACCCCAGGAAGGUCCUCAUCUUUGGUGCCUGUCAUUCUCGGAUGGCCGCGAGGCAUCCCGUGGCAAGGGAUGCUGCAUACCAGCGGUCCCCGCCGCGUCUCACCUGCCUCCCGUGAUGCAUGUUGUCGCUUUCCCACCCUGGAUCUCCGUCUUUCUUCCCUUCCUGCUGUCCGUAAGAGAUCACAUGUCGGUGUAGUGUGAAUGCCUUGUCGCUGUCCUAUAUGCUUUUGCACCACUGAGUUGACUGCCUCCGAGAAGCAGCACUAGGCCUGCUGAAAUGCAGCGCGCUGCCCUGAGAUCCAGUUUCAAGAACGGGCAGCUAAACGCAGUGUGGGAAAGGGAUGUGGAAUGAGAACUUGGUGGUCCGCCGCCGUACUGUUUGCGUAAACUUUUAUGUACUUGGUAAGCUACGUGUAUAUAAAUGUCGCCCUGCCCCUAACAGUCGAGUAGUAUUCUCCCUUGCAGGAAUUUCUGAUGGGGUUCCUCAUCACCAAUACCAAAUAAAUAUAUGUAGGAAUGGAAAAUAGGUGUAGAAUUCAGGUUUGUUCCUCCGUAUUGAUUUUUCUCGUUAGAUCUGAGCUGGCUCCCUUGAAAUUUCCCAGCAGCGGAUCCGGGUUUAUUGAGGGAAGCUCUGCACUGUGGAGACUGGGAACGGGGGAGGGAGGGCACCAGAGAACACAGCCCAGUCACUGGAUGCAGCGAGACCAGCAGCCAGAGCAGCCAGGCAGCACCACGGCUUCGAAGAGAGGCUUCCUGCCCACAGGAGACGUGGAAGCAGAGUCCACCGCCCACGAAUCCUGAGGUGUGAACCCAGCCGGUACCCGCAUGACCCCUCUGAACUGAAAACAGACUCUGCUUCGUGCCAGUCCAUUUUUAGGUAUUCCCCAGAGCUGUCUCGCUGCAAAAGUCUAUGUGCCUACUGCCAACAAAAGUGGCUUGAAAACAAGUAAGUGUCUUAGAUUCUGAUGCUGGGAUCUCAUGAGCGAGCUUGACAGUGGAAGUGACCCAGCUCCAGGGAGAAGGUAAAAAAACAAACAAAAAAAGCAGGGCUUUUCCUUCUUGAAACACAAAGGCCUAAAUGCAGGGCAGUGAAUUGGGGAGGGUUUCAAAGGGGCUCGAGGCAUUGCCCUUUGGCUGAUGUUUCCUAGGGUUCUGACAGUAUUUUCCCCACUUCCACAUAUUAGCUGCCUUCCUCCACUCCCACAGACCCAUCCUCUAGCAACAUUUUCAGUUCCGCUGUGUGAAUUUGGAAAGCAGAACACCAGAGAAGUUAGGGAACCAGCCCAUGACACCGGCAGAACUAGCACACGAACCUAGGCAGGCUGGGGUCAGAAGUGGCCCCCUUCAGCAGUUCACCUCUGUGAAGGCUAUGGGUAAAUGGCCUAGAGCAGGGCUUUUGGUGGUCAUUUCAUAGCUGGUAGCACCAAGUCUUGGCGAGACCCGUUGCCGAAUCCUCCGCACGGUGCUGUGGGGCAGGUACAAUCAUCCCCACCUUGCGGAGAGUUUGUGGAGGUCCUAAAGUGGUGGCUGGGGAUGCAUGCCUCUGUCUGACUCCCCAGCCACCGAAAUGCUAUCUCGCUGACCUUCUCAGUCAGCCCGGCAGGCACACCUGGUCCAUGCUGCCAGUGACAGCAUUUCAGCAAUCAUCAGGGUUUCCAUUUCCUCACCCUGCCUCUCUCCCUUCCGGGCUUCGUCGACUGUCAUGCUGGGGAGGUCAGGAGGAGUCGCAGAGGUAGCCCUGCUCUGGGGGAUUGAUUGAUUGAUCAGGGAGAGAGAUCAGACCCUGUGUUAGUCUCUGUCCUUCCGCUAUAUCAUGAAAUACCACAGGCUGGGUGCUCUGGAUUUGAUGUGGCGUGUUUAUCCCCACCAAGAGUCAGGUUGAAGUUUAACGCCCAGUGCUGCGGUGUUGGGAGGUGGGUCCUAGAGGGAGGUGUUUGGGUCAUGGUGAGGAUCCCUCAUGAAGGACUCAGUGUCCUGUGAUACCAUCCUUCCGGGCUGAGUUCUUGCUCUCACGGGUAUGGAUUAGUCCCCAGGAGAGCAAGUUCUUCACAGGAAUCUGGCCUCCCCGGAUUCUCUCUCCCUUCCUCCCUCCCAUGUGAUCUCAUUGCACACGCCGGCACCCCCUCCACUUCCCACCAUGAGUUGAAGCAGCCCGAGGCCCUCCCCAGAUGCAGUUGCCCAAGACUGAAUGUUUCGGCCACCAGAAUUGUGAGCCAGAUAAACCGAUUUUUUUUUCUUUUUAAAAGAUGUAUUUAUUUUAAUUUUUUUAGACACAGGGUCAUGCUCUGUUACCCAGAAGAGAGCCCAGUGGCACGAUCAUGGCUUAGUGCAGCCUUGAAUUCCUGGCUCCAGCGAUCCACCCACCAGAGCCUCCCAAGUAACUCAAGCCUGUGCCGCCAUGCCCAGGCUAAGUUUUAAGUUUUUUGUAGAGACAGUGUCUGGCUGUGUUGCCCAGGCUGAUCUCCAACUUCCGGCCUCAAGUGAUCGUCCCGCCUCGGCCUCCCAGAGUGCUGGGAGCCACCGGCAUGAGCCACCAUGCCUGGCCUCCAGUUUUCUUUAGAAAUUACCCGGCCUCAGGUAUUCUGUUAUAACAAAGCAAAAUGGACCAAGAAAGCAGGCAAUUUGUAAUGGAAACAAAUUUAUUUCUCACAACCCUGGAUGCUGGGAUGUUCAAAACGAAAGUCCCAGUAUCUGGUAUCUGGCAAGAGUCUUCAUCCAUCCAUCAUGAAUAUGCCUGCAAAAAUCCCCAGCAAAAUACUAGCAAACCUCAAUCCAGUUCCUCACAGGGCAAAAGGUGGAAGGGCAAGCCGGGAAGAAUGUUAGGUCCUCGCAUAGCAGAAGAGGAAAAGAGAGAACAAACCACUGCUGCAAGCUCCUUUCAUUCUCUCACGAGGGUUCUGCUGUGACGGCCUGAACACCUGUUGUCAUUCCACACCUCCCAACACUGCUGCAGUGGGGAUUAAUUUCACUGUGAGUUUUGGAGGGAAGACAAACAUUGAAACCCUAGCAGAUACGCAUCAUUGUGUGAGAGAACAGGUGGCUGAUCCUGUGUGGUCCCGGUCCCGGGAGAUGAAAGGAGUGAGAAAGAUCUGAGUUGGAAAAAGCAGACAUCAGGGGCUUGCUCAGGGAGCUCACAGAUGCACAGUGCCACAGGGUCUUGGGUGUCCAGGAACAGGCAUGGAAAAUGGGUGAGUAGAGGAAACUGAGGCACUCUGCGCAUGCGCCACGUCCUCACCUCCAGGUCUUUAUCCCUAUACCUGUGUGUGGGGGACGGAGGGGGCCUGGUGGUCGUGCCUGAGACACCAUCCUAUCCCAAGUUACAGACUAGGAUGUGCAAUCCUGUGAUGUCCACAGAUGUCCAGUAUGCAAAAUUCUACAGCAGAGGCCAAACCCAAACCAAAGGCACCGGCAGGAGGGAGGAUUGGGACAGAGAAAGGUGCAAAUGCGAUGAUCACGUGGGACAUCUGAGUAGACCUGGAGCAGGUAAGGAAAUAGAAAGACUACAUUAAACAUCUUCCCACUAGGUACAGUCUAGGCUCCGCUGCCUCAUUAGUGAAGUCUGUCCGACAUUUACAAAAUACAUGAUACCAACUCUUCACAGAUUCUUUCAGAAUAUAGAGGAGAAGGGAACAUUUCCCAGCUCGUCCUCCGAAAAUUUUAUUACUCUGCUCCUAAAGCCAGACAGAGGCUGGGGGCGGUGGUUCACGACUGUAAUCCCAGCAUGUUGGGAGUCCGAGGUGGGUGGAUCACCUGAGGUCAGGAGUUCUUGACCAGCCUGGCUAACCAUGGUGAAACCCUGACUCUACUAAAAAUAGAAAAAUUAGCCAGGUGUGGUGGUGGGCACCUGUAUUCCCAGCUACUCAGGGGGCUGAGGCAGGAGAAUCGCUUGAACCUGGGAGGUGGAGGUUGCAGUGAGUCCAGAUCGCACCGCUGCACUCCAUCCUGGGUUGACACAGUGAGACUUGUCUCAAAAACAUAAUAAUAAAGCAAGACAGAGACAGCAAUAAUAAUAAUAAAGCAAGACAGAGAGAACAGGAUACCUUAAACCAACAUCCACCAUGAAUAUGCCUGCAAAAAUCCCCAACAAAAUAUUAGCAAACCCCAGUCCAGUCAUACAUACAGUGGGCUGUGCAACAUGACCAAGUGUCAUUUAUUCUAGGAAUGCAGGACUGGCUUAACAUUCAAAUUUCAGUUAAGGUAAUCUACCCUGCUAAUAUAAUAGAGAAGAGGAACUACAUCAUCAUCAUCACAGACAGAGGAAAGCAUUUGACAGUAUCCGAGACCCAUUCAUGCUAAAACCAUGCCUACACACAGACAUGUGCUCCAAUGUUCGCUGCAGCAUUUUUUGGGAAGGUCCCAGAGUGGAAACAAGUCAAAUGUCUACCAGUGGUUAAAAGGAUAAAGAAGUGGUAUAUCCAUAUAGCCGAACGUUACUGAGCCGUGACGAGGUACACGCUACUGAUGCAUGCGGCAGCGUGUUUGAACCUGGAACACGUUAUGCUAAUUGACAGAUGUCAGACACAAAUGACCACUUAUUGCACGAGUCAGUUUAUAGGAAAUGCCCAGAGAAGCAGCUCUACAGAGAGAGAAAGUAGCUUACUGGUUGCCUGGGCAGGCCUGGCGGUAAACUAACGGGGAUUGACUGCUGCUAGUGGGUACCAGAGAUCUUUCUGGGGUGAUGGAAGUAUUCUGAAACUGGAUGGUGAUGAGGGCUACAAAACUGUCAAUUUACUAAAACUCACUGUAUUGUUCCCUUUACAUAUGUGAAGUUUGUGGCAAACAAAUUAUACCUUAGUAAAGCCAUUUAAGAAACUGUGGUACAGGCUGGGCGUGGUGGCUCUCAUCUGUGAUCCCAGCACCUUGGGAAGCCGAGGCGGGCGGAUCACCUGAGGGCGGGAGUUUGAGACCAGCCUGACCAACAGGGAGAAACCCUGUCUCUACUAAAAUACAAAAUUAGCCGGGCGUGGUGGCGCAUGCCUGUAAUCCCAGCUACUCAGGAGGCUGAGGCAGGAGAGUCUCUUGAACUCAGGAGACGGAGGUUGCCGUGAGGCUAGAUCACACCAUUGCACUCCAGCCUGGGCAACAAGCAAAAUUCCGUCUCAAAAAAAAAAAAAAAAAAAAAAAAAAAAACCAGCAAAUGUGACCAUAAGUCAUUGAGGAAAGGGAAAGGGUAUGCAGUUGUUUUUUUCUUUACAACAAUAAGCAAUAUCCCCUCUCUUUCCCUCUUCUGCGUCCCGCCUACAUGUCCCGUCUGGUCGCCUGCCUCCUCCACGUGCACUUGAUGCUCCAGCCAGAUAGACUGUGCACACCUGGGCAGAGGGAGUGCUGGUGAGUGCACGUGUCUACGUGUGUGUCUGUGUGCGGUGUGCGCGCGUUCCUGCGCAGGCACUCUGUGGGUGCACGCUCUAGUGACUGUACAUCCCCUGUCUGUGGGCAGGCUCCCGUAAUCCAUGCUGCCUUCUGAAUUCCACAGCCGGUUUUUCUGUUUGCCAGUCUCAGGGACCUGGCUUCGGUUUCCCUGGUAACCAGCCUCAGCCCUCAGCUUCAACCUCUGAGCACAGGAAGACAUACAGAGUGGGGAGGGGUGGUGUCUCACCCACAGGGCCCCUGCCAGAGCUGAGCCCCCCCGAUGGGAUGAGUGGCAGCACGGUUACCAAGACAACAGAACCUCUCCACCCCUUUCCACCUUCAAGGCUCUUCUCCCUCUCCUGGGCCUGCCGAGUAUCAGGUCGGAAAGGGGAAGCUGUGGCAUAAACACUCUCCUAAGUCCUUGAAAUUGCUCUAGCUGUGGCUGUAGAAUAAAUACAUCAAAAGAUGCUCUUGAAAAAGAAGGCGGCCGGGCACAGUGGCUCACGCCUGUAAUCCCAGCGCUUUGGGAGGCUGAGGCGGGCCGAUCACAAGGUCAGGAGUUCGAGACCAUCCUGGCCAACACGGUGAACCCCCGUCUCUACUAAAAAUACAAAAAAUUAGCCGGGUGUGUUGGCACACAUCUAAUCCCAGUUACUCUGGAGGCUGAGGCAGGGGAAUCGCUUGAACCCGGGAGGCGGAGGUUGCAGUGAGCCAAGAUCGCACCACUGCACUCUAGCCUGGUGACAGAGCAAGACUCUGUCUUUAAAGAAAAAAAAGAGAGGGCAACCCACACGUUUUUUUCCGAUUCAUUAACUACAAGCAAGGCUAUGAAGUCCAAGGUUAUAUUUUAAAAAGAGGACAGGAGAAGGGGAGCGUGUGCUUAUGUGUCUCAAUGUCAGCUGUGGGUCAGGUCUCUCGUGGAGCAUUUGUCCAAGAGCAGAUGCCGGGCCCUAUCCCCCCGAGAGUCUGACUUAGUAUGUCUGGAAUGGGGCCCCAGCGUGAGUAUCAUGUUACAGCUCCUCUUUUGAAAGCCAAGGUGGCAGCUGCAGAAGGGGAACCAUCCUCUCGGGAAGAAAAGCAUAUCUGAAAGGUCCCACGUCAAAGGACAAGCAGGACGUCAUUGUUCCCUGAUAUGCUGGUAGUUUCUAGGGCUAAUAGAUUUCCUGGGCUAAGGAAAGGUCAAAAGCAUUCACGGAAGCGUGAGUGCUUGUUUUACAACUGACACUGUGCUCCCUUUUCUCCUUAUUCCUGAAAUCAAAAUGUUGACGGGAACGUGCUGCAUUUGCCAGUGAAACAUAUCACUUGUUAUUUCUGGUGAGGAUCUCGUAUGCUCGAGGUAUUUUCAAGGACCACUCAGCACAAAAUUUACAUGAGUAAACACAGUGGAGACAAAGAGAGGUGGGGUCUCACUACGUUGCCCAGGCUGGCCUCCAACUCCUGAGAUCGAGCAAUCCCCCUGCCUCUGCCUCCCAAAGUGUUAAGAUUACCAGCCGGAGCCAAGACAUCUAGCCUAUUUUUUUAAAAAUCACCUGGAAGAAAUUACUACCUGUAUUUGUAUUCAACAAAUGUCUAUAUUGAGAAGACAAAGCUAGGCACUGUUCUGGUGGUGUGCUGAAAAUACGUUUGUGAGCAAAAACAAAGCAAAACAAAUGUAGUUCCUGUCAUUAUAAUGAUCACUUUCUGAUAUUAACCUUUGAAAUAGACGGACAGGGGUUAUUUCUGUUAUCUAGCUUAAUUAUUAAGUUGGUUCUGGCUCUUCUAUACUACAUAUUAGUAAAACACAAAUAAAAUUAUUUCAAGUCUUCUUGAAAUAAUUUGUGGGACACCUUAAUGCUAAAUAGAAUCGCUUAAAAUUUUCUUAAAGACAUGAUGUAAAUAUCAAUCUCAUGUUUCAAAUCUAC